UACGGAGGGUGCUAGCGUUGUUCGGAAUCACUGGGCGUAAAGCGCGUGUAGGCGGCCCACUAAGUCUGAUGUGAAAGCCCGGGGCUCACCCCCGGAAGUGCAUUGGAAACUGGUGGACUCGAGUCCCGGAGAGGAGGGUGGAAUUCCUGGUGUAGCGGCGAAAUGCGUAGAUAUCAGGAGGAACACCGGUGGCGAAGGCGGCCCUCUGGACGGUGACUGACGCUGAGACGCGAAAGCGUGGGGAGCAAACAGG
rnacentral:rRNA from 1 species